CUACGGGUCGCUCCAGUGAGGAAUAUUGCACAAUGGGGGGAACCCUGAUGCAGCAACGCCGCGUGGAGGAUGACGCAUUUCGGUGUGUAAACUCCUUUUAUAUGUCAAGAAAAUGACGGUAGCAUAUGAAUAAGCACCGGCUAACUCCGUGCCAGCAGCCGCGGUAAUACGGGAGGGUGCAAGCGUUACUCGGAAUCACUGGGCGUAAAGGACGCGUAGGCGGGUUGAAAAGUCAGGUGUGAAAGCCUACAGCUUAACUGUAGAACUGCACUUGAAACUCUCAAUCUAGAGUAUGGGAGGGGCAGAUGGAAUUAGUGGUGUAGGGGUAAAAUCCGUAGAUAUCACUAGGAAUACCUAAAGCGAAGGCGAUCUGCUGGAACAUUACUGACGCUAAGGCGUGAAAGCGUGGGGAGCAAACAGGAUUAGAUACCCUCGUAGUC
rnacentral:rRNA from 1 species